rnacentral:rRNA from 1 species
CCCUUAGAUGUUCUGGGCUGCACGCGCGCUACACUGGUCGAUGCAACGAGUUUCUUUCCUUGGCCGACAGGCCUGGGCAAUCUUUGAACAUCGAUCGUGAUCGGGAUAGAUUCUUGUAAUUUUUGAUCUUAAACGAGGAAUUCCUAGUAAACGCAAGUCAUCAGCUUGCAUUGAUUACGUCCCUGCCCUUUGUACACACCGCCCGUCGCACCUACCGAUUGAAUGGUCCGGUGAAAUCUCGGGACGGCGGCUUGGUCGCUUGCGUCCGACUGCUGAAACUUGAUUAAACCAUAUCAUUUAGAGGAAGGUGAAGUCGUAACA